rnacentral:rRNA from 1 species
GGCCUAACACAUGCAAGUCGAACGGUAACAGGAAGCAGCUUGCUGAUUUGCUGACGAGUGGCGGACGGGUGAGUAAUGUCUGGGAAACUGCCUGAUGGAGGGGGAUAACUACUGGAAACGGUAGCUAAUACCGCAUAACGUCGCAAGACCAAAGAGGGGGACCUUCGGGCCUCUUGCCAUCGGAUGUGCCCAGAUGGGAUUAGCUAGUAGGUGGGGUAACGGCUCACCUAGGCGACGAUCCCUAGCUGGUCUGAGAGGAUGACCAGCCACACUGGAACUGAGACACGGUCCAGACUCCUACGGGAGGCAGCAGUGGGGAAUAUUGCACAAUGGGCGCAAGCCUGAUGCAGCCAUGCCGCGUGUAUGAAGAAGGCCUUCGGGUUGUAAAGUACUUUCAGCGGGGAGGAAGGGAGUAAAGUUAAUACCUUUGCUCAUUGACGUUACCCGCAGAAGAAGCACCGGCUAACUCCGUGCCAGCAGCCGCGGUAAUACGGAGGGUGCAAGCGUUAAUCGGAAUUACUGGGCGUAAAGCGCACGCAGGCGGUUUGUUAAGUCAGAUGUGAAAUCCCCGGGCUCAACCUGGGAACUGCAUCUGAUACUGGCAAGCUUGAGUCUCGUAGAGGGGGGUAGAAUUCCAGGUGUAGCGGUGAAAUGCGUAGAGAUCUGGAGGAAUACCGGUGGCGAAGGCGGCCCCCUGGACGAAGACUGACGCUCAGGUGCGAAAGCGUGGGGAGCAAACCGGAUUAGAUACCCUGGUAGUCCACGCCGUAUACGAUGUCGACUUGGAAGGUUGUGCCCUUGAGGCGUGGCUUCCGGAGCUAACGCGUUAAGUC